rnacentral:rRNA from 1 species
GACGAACGCUGGCGGCGUGCUUAACACAUGCAAGUCGAACGGGCCCGCCCCUGUUUUUGGGGGUGGGUUGAGUGGCGAACGGGUGAGUAUCACGUGAGAAACCUGCCCCCUGCUCCUGGAUAACUGCUUGAAAGGGCGGCUAAUACGGGGUGUGCCGGCUGGUCCGCAUGGGCCUGGUCGGGAUAGUUUCAUCUGCGGGUGUUUCGGUGGGGGAUGGGCUCGCGGCCUAUCAGCUUGUUGGUGGGGUGAUGGCCCACCAAGGCGGUGACGGGUAGCCGGCCUGAGAGGGUGGGCGGCCACACUGGGACUGAGACACGGCCCAGACUCCUGCGGGAGGCAGCAGUGGGGGGUAUUGCACAAUGGGCGGAAGCCUGAUGCAGCGACGUCGCGUGAGGGAUGGAGGCCUUCGGGUUGUGAACCUCUUUCUCCGGUGGUGAAGGCCCUGUCCGUUGCGGCGGGGUUGACGGUAGCCGGGUAUGAAGCGCCGGCUAACUACGUG